rnacentral:rRNA from 1 species
UAUAAGUCAGUGGUAAAAGGUCGUGGCUUAACCACGGUAUAGCCAUUGAUACUGUAUAUCUUGAGUACACUGGGCGUAUGUGGAAUAUGGCAUGUAGCGGUGAAAUGCAUAGAUAUGCCAUAGAACACCGAUCGUGAAGACAGCGUACGAUGGUGAUACUGACGCUGAGGCACGAAAGCGUGGGGAUCAAACAGGAUUAGAUACCCUGGUAGUCCACGCUGUAAACGAUGAUCACUUGCUGUUGGGCUGUAUUAAGUUCAGUGGCAAAGCGAAAGCGAUAAGUGAUCCACCUGGGGAGUACGCCGGCAACGGUGAAACUCAAAGGAAUUGACGGGGGCCCGCACAAGCGGAGGAGCAUGUGGUUUAAUUCGAUGGUACGCGAGGAACCUUACCAGGGCUUGAAAGUUAGGGAAUAACGCUGAAAGGUGUUAGUCCGCGAGGACCCGAAACUAGGUGCUGCAUGGCUGUCGUCAGCUCGUGCCGUGAGGUGUUUGGUUAAGUCCAGCAACGAGCGCAACCCCUACCAUUAGUUGCCAACGGGUAAAGCCGGGGACUCUAGUGGAACUGCUCCGGUAACGGGAGGAAGGUGGGGAUGACGUCAAGUCAUCACGGCCCUUACGUCCUGGGCUACACACGUGCUACAAUGGCCACUACAGAGGGAACCGAAUCGGUAACGCGGAGGGAAUCGAUAAAAGUGGUCACAGUUCGGAUUGGGGUCUG